rnacentral:rRNA from 1 species
GCUGGCGGCAGGCCUAACACAUGCAAGUCGAGCGGUAGAGAGAAGCUUGCUUCUCUUGAGAGCGGCGGACGGGUGAGUAAAGCCUAGGAAUCUGCCUGGUAGUGGGGGAUAACGUUCGGAAACGGACGCUAAUACCGCAUACGUCCUACGGGAGAAAGCAGGGGACCUUCGGGCCUUGCGCUAUCAGAUGAGCCUAGGUCGGAUUAGCUAGUUGGUGAGGUAAUGGCUCACCAAGGCGACGAUCCGUAACUGGUCUGAGAGGAUGAUCAGUCACACUGGAACUGAGACACGGUCCAGACUCCUACGGGAGGCAGCAGUGGGGAAUAUUGGACAAUGGGCGAAAGCCUGAUCCAGCCAUGCCGCGUGUGUGAAGAAGGUCUUCGGAUUGUAAAGCACUUUAAGUUGGGAGGAAGGGCAUUAACCUAAUACGUUAGUGUUUUGACGUUACCGACAGAAUAAGCACCGGCUAACUCUGUGCCAGCAGCCGCGGUAAUACAGAGGGUGCAAGCGUUAAUCGGAAUUACUGGGCGUAAAGCGCGCGUAGGUGGUUUGUUAAGUUGGAUGUGAAAUCCCCGGGCUCAACCUGGGAACUGCAUUCAAAACUGACUGACUAGAGUGUGGUAGAGGGUGGUGGAAUUUCCUGUGUAGCGGUGAAAUGCGUAGAUAUAGGAAGGAACACCAGUGGCGAAGGCGACCACCUGGACCAACACUGACACUGAGGUGCGAAAGCGUGGGGAGCAAACAGGAUUAGAUACCCUGGUAGUCCACGCCGUAAACGAUGUCAACUAGCCGUUGGGAGCCUUGAGCUUUUAGUGGCGCAGCUAACG